rnacentral:rRNA from 1 species
GACGAGGGGGUCCAAGCGUUUGUUCGGAAUUAUUGGGCGUAAAGCGGGUGUAGGUGGCUCUGUAAGUCAGGAGUGAAAGCCCCGAGCUUAACUUGGGAAGUGCUUUUGAUACUGCAGAGCUUGAGUGUGGGAGAGGAUCGUGGAAUUCCAGGUGUAGAGGUGAAAUUCGUAGAUAUUCGGAAGAACACCAGUGGCGAAGGCGACUCGCUGGACAAGUAUUGACGCUGAGGUGCGAAAGCGUGGGGAGCAAACAGG